rnacentral:rRNA from 1 species
GUCUAUGGCCAUACCAUCCUGAGUGCUUCCGAUCUCGCCUGAUCUUGGAUGCUAAGCAGGGUCAGGCCUGGUUAGUACUUGCAUGGGAGGAUGACAUACAAU